AGGGUCUCACUGAGUUGCUGAGUGCCUUGCUAAUCUGCUGAGACUGGCUUUGAACUUGAAAUCCUCCUGCCUCAGCCUCCCAAAUUACUGGGAUUACAGGUGUGUACCACUAUGCUGGGCCCCAGCCCUUCUUUUUUUUUAAUUUUGAGACAGAGUCUUGCUAAGUUGUUUAGGGCCUUGCUAAAUUGCUGGGGCUAUGGACUUGCAAUCCUCCUGCCUCAGCCUCCAGAGCCACUGGGAUUACAGGUAUGUAUCACCACGUCCAGCUCUACCCUGGCUUUUGGUUGGUUGGUUAUUACAGGUUGCCUUAUAGGAAAGGUGUCCUGAGGAAGACACUGGGGAAAACUAGAGUAGUUUGAUCUUCUUUUGUUCUGUUACCUAUACUGCACUAAAGAUUGUUAAGCAUUACCUAGUAAUGGUGACACAUGCCUGUAAUCCCAGCUACUAAGGAGGCUGAGGCAGAAGGAUCACAGGUUUGAAACCAGGCUGAGCAUCUUAGUGAGACCCUGUCUCAAAAGAAAAAAAGGCUGAGGUUAUAGCUCAGUGACAGAGUACAUGCAGAGUAUGAGUUCCUGGAUUCAAUUCCCAGCACCAGGGGUAAAAAAGAAGUUGUCUAGCAUUUUCUCGGAUGUUCCAUAAUAGCUACCAUCUUCAUCACAAAGAUGGUGGCAGUGUUUGGAAUGUAGCUGUGGUAGACUGCUUGCCUAGAAUGUAC
rnacentral:lncRNA from 1 species